CAGAGUUACUCUUAUGCAGAUCUGAAAACUGAGGCACAGAGAGAAUAAGCAACUUGUCCAACCUCAGGGAAUGACUGUUGCAGAGGUCAAGUUUGAAUGGUGGAAGGAAGCACAUGGUUCCAUUUCAAGGAGGAGAAGCUCUUUUCCCACUUCGGAAUUUUGAGUCCAUUUAAGGAAUCAGUGCAUACUGUAACUGCAGAAAGAAUUGAGGAAGCCAUGGGGAGGCAGGCGCCACUAAGGUGCUACACGAUUCCUGAAAAAAUCCACGAGGGUUUACAAAUUUGGCCCCAUCGAAGGUUGCCUGAAAACAGGACUAUAUUAAAGCACUAGCUAAUCCCUGCUUUGCAACUGUAAUGGCUACCUUUGCAGUGUUCCAUCCUGGCUCCACUAGGGAAAAAAAAAAGAAGAAGAAGGAGAAGGAGAAGGAGAAGUUGAAGUUGAAGUUGUUAACUGCUUACUUUGUACCGGACACUUUUUUCUUACACGAUGAGCAUUGGGUUCCUGUUCCCUUUUGCCCAAUAACCAUCCUAAAGGAAACAGCAGGGACAGCUGACGAAGGACAGGCAAAUAAAAUCAAAACAAAAGGGUCCAAAAAAUGGAGGGAAAAAGGGGGGAAAAAAGGAACACAAAUAUUGUGUUUUCAGAACAUUGGGGGCAGCUUCGCCAAUGUAUUUCUUGCCAUUGUUGCAUGUUUUACUUGGACAUCCUGUCACUUCCUCCAUGCCCUUUGUGACAGAAGUUUUUGUGAGGAAGGUUAGAAUCACUGAAGAAGUUGUUUAUGUGGCAUGUUUCUUGGGCAAGAGAUUCAUCGCGUGGUCCUCUGAAAAGUGUUAAAUUGCAGCUGACAUUUAAGCCUACUCAGAUUAGAAGGUGUCAAAUGUACUUGAAGUAAAGAGAAAGAAGCAAUCUCUGGAGGGAAGGUGUAUCACAGAGAUCCACCACGACGUACCCUCUGGAGGUUUAUUCUCAAAGUUAACAAAACUGACCCUCUUAGGCUCUGAAGACUGAGAACCAUCUGCUUUUUUAGACUAGUAGAUUUUGAAGCUAAUACAUACUUAUAAAAUAGAUUUUGGAAGAAGAAGACAAAUAUCCAGAAGAAAGUUACCAUUUCUUAU